CAGAGGGUGCAAGCGUUAAUCGGAAUUACUGGGCGUAAAGCGCGCGUAGGUGGCUUGGUAAGUUGAAUGUGAAAUCCCCGGGCUCAACCUGGGAACUGCAUCCAAAACUAGCCUGGCUAGAGUACGGUAGAGGGUGGUGGAAUUUCCUGUGUAGCGGUGAAAUGCGUAGAUAUAGGAAGGAACACCAGUGGCGAAGGCGACCACCUGGACUGAUACUGACACUGAGGUGCGAAAGCGUGGGGGAGCAAACAGGAUU
rnacentral:rRNA from 1 species